AACAACACAGGUGAAGCAAGGUUGUGUGAGAGUAAGUCGUUCGUUUUUUUUGUUUGUUUUGCGUUUGAACAGAAAUAAACUCUGGGAAUUAAUAUACAGGAGCGCUACAGCUGUGAACUUUGUUUUUUUUGUUGUAACAGUGAAGGAAGGAGUGAGUUGCAGCUGCUGCUCUUUUUUAUUUUAGUUAAAUGCAGUUUCGGGUGUGUUUUGUCUAAGCUAACAGCCGCCCUGCCGCCAAGCUAGCUAACGUCUAGCUAACCGUCAGUUAGCACUGUAGUGGAUGUCUUCAGCCUCAACGAGGGACGAGGGGAAACCAGUGUGACCAGAUAAAACUCAGCUAAACCUCUGGGAACAAUGGAGGAGAGACUUUCUACAUUAUCUGCUGAGGGACUGAUGAGUGGAGCAGCUUUUCCGGUGGAAAAAGGACAGUGGUGAUCUGGACUUCCGAGUGGUGAAAAGCGGCCCAGUUCUGUCCAGGGAGAGCCGCCACCCCGAGGAGACGAGGGGAGGAGCAGAGGAAACUGGAAACUGUUCCCACUGAGGAUGUCUGAUCUGUGAAGGAGGUCUGUUGACAGGAGCAGGUGGCGCUGGUUGUCACCUGACCACAGCUUCAGCCAUCGAUGUUUUUCCAUAAAACAAGAGGUGAUAACACGACCUCUGAGCAGCGCUACGUCUUCAGGGCAGACUGGAGGCUGCACUGAGUCACUGUUGGAAAGUGAUGAGACCGGGACUAGCUGGUUGGCGUGCUAACUUCAGCAGAAGAAAAGACGUGGUAGAGACGAGAGUUAACACUGGCGUUGCUUUCCACCGCUGGAGACAGCUGCUGGCGAGUGAAGGAAAGAAGUUUGAUGCUGAACUCGCAACGUUUUUUCUAGACUGACACAUUUCCAGCCACGUUCUGAAGCUCGGCUCGAGAGCAGGUACUUAAUGGACCUUGUGGUGAGAUUGGCUCGUCAAGGUCUGAGGUCAAGAAUGACCUUUAAAUCUCUGCUUUAAGCCAACGCGGAUUAGCAGGCCUUAAAGUGCUAAAAGAAAAAAAUGUUCCAUGAUGACCGGACAAACUGCGUCUGCUGAUGAAGAUACGAUCGAAAGCUCCAGCUCCAGCCACGGCAGCAGUAUUUUCUGCAACUGCUGAAGAGAGGCGGUGGCGGUCUUUUUGGGCAGGGAGUAGCGGAGACAGCGGACGGAAAAGUGAACGGGUGCCUGACUCAACUGUAAAGACAAAGGUGAUGGACGGCUGUGCUGGCAGGCGGCAGCGUGAGGCAGCAGCAGCAGCAAGUCAGCUGACCGGAGGUCCACAAUACUCGCCACAACACGGGAAACAGGGUUUAGCACCCUGCCCUUAUGAUGACCCGAGGAGGCCUAGCAGAACAAGUCCCCCAGCGCUAUCCACUAUUCAGUCUGGUUCGACCCCCCCCCCCCCCUUCCAUCUACAACCUACAAGAACGACCAAGUCCCUGCACCCCAUGAUCUGCAGCUAAGCUAAAGGACUUUUUAGGACUGUUUCCUAAUGGACUUUUAGUUUGUUUUUAUUGGGAUGUUAAAGUGUUUUUAUGACUUUAUGACUUUUUAUGAUUUUUAAACCUGUGUAAUAAAUAUUGUUAAUGCUCUUUCUUAAUCAGUGCUUCCUUGGUUGCCACAUCCUUUACCCUCAUACCUGAUCACAAGAACUUGGUUUUAUUUUGGGUUUAUUUUAACUUUUUAAGUAUACGUUGUGUUUGUGAAUGGUCAUCUGAUGUGUGUUUUCAAACGUGUUAGCAUACACAGGGAUUAUUUCUGAUACAGAGCCAAAACACUCAUCUGGACAGAGAUUGUUGUGGUUUGAUCUUGACAAAGAUGGUGAACAUAGUAAACAUUAUAACUGCUUUAUAUAAUAUGUUAACAUUUUCACUGACGUUAGCAUUAUCAUACAAGCUGCACUGUGCCUCAGUUCACCCUCACACUUAGACUUGCUCCUAUACAGUACUUCAAUACAACAAUGUCCUAACCUCCACACAACUCAUGAAAACUACAGUACUAACAUUCUUUUAUAGUAGGUAUGACCACUCUUAA